GACGUAGGGAGCGAGCGUUGUCCGGAUUCAUUGGGCGUAAAGAGCGCGCAGGCGGUUUGGUAAGUCGGAUGUGAAACCCGGGGCUCAACCCCGGGCGUGCAUCCGAUACUGCCCGACUAGAGGUAGGUAGGGGAGAUCGGAAUUCCUGGUGUAGCGGUGAAAUGCGCAGAUAUCAGGAGGAACACCGGUGGCGAAGGCGGAUCUCUGGGCCUUACCUGACGCUCAGGCGCGAAAGCUAGGGGAGCGAACAGG
rnacentral:rRNA from 1 species